rnacentral:rRNA from 1 species
UACGGAGGGUGCAAGCGUUAUCCGGAUUCACUGGGUUUAAAGGGUGCGUAGGUGGGCAGGUAAGUCAGUGGUGAAAUCUCUGGGCUUAACCCGGAAACUGCCGUUGAUACUAUCUGUCUUGAAUGUAGUGGAGGUGAGCGGAAUAUGUCAUGUAGCGGUGAAAUGCUUAGAUAUGACAUAGAACACCCAUUGCGAAGGCAGCUCGCUACACUAUUAUUGACACUGAGGCACGAAAGCGUGAGGAUCAAACAGG